CUCUUGGAGCAGUUAACGCUGCCUUGUGGCUACCGGGAUUGUCUGUUCUGGCUAAAUCCUCAGGAUCUGCCUAUGAAAAAUAUGAAGGAAAGCACCUGCAUACUUUGCUCUAGGAAUGCAGAAUUGUGCAAGAGUCUAAAAGACAGGGAAAAAGAAGAGCCACAAGACUAUUCCUGAUCCUGGAGAUAGAAUGAUACAGCCUAGAGAAUGGAUCUUCUCUCAUUACAGCUGAAUUCCUGGAAAAUGGCCCUAAUCUUCCACUUUGAAGGACUCACCCCCAAAACACAGAGCAGAGCUUUCUGGAAUUCCUAUUGUGUGGUGAGUUCUCUAUGGAUGUUUUUUUGAAAUGAAUGAGUUGGAGUCUCUAGAAGAUUCUUCAGUCCCUUCUGAGUGAUUAGGGAAAAGUUGCAUUAGAAAAUGAGUUUUCCGAGGGCAUCUGGGUUGUUCAGUCAGUUGAGCAUCUGACUCUUGAUUUCAGGUCAUGAUUUCACAGUUUGUGGGAUCAAGCCCCACUUAGGAUUUUCUCUCUCCCCC
rnacentral:lncRNA from 1 species